rnacentral:rRNA from 1 species
AGAGUUUGAUCAUGGCUCAGGAUGAACGCUAGCGGGAGGCCUAAUACAUGCAAGUCGAGCGGUAUCUUUCUUCGGGAAGCUAGAGCGGCGCACGGGUGAGUAACGCGUACAUGACCUGCCUUUAAGACCGGGAUAGCCCUGGGAAACUGGGAUUAAUACCGGAUGUGAUAAUAGAUAUAAAGAUUUAUUAUUAAAGUUACGGCGCUUAGAGAUGGAUGUGCGUCUGAUUAGCUAGUUGGUAGGGUAACGGCCUACCAAGGCUACGAUCAGUAGGGGGCGUGAGAGCGUGCCCCCCCACACGGGUACUGAGACACGGACCCGACUCCUACGGGAGGCAGCAGUAAGGAAUAUUGGUCAAUGGACGAAAGUCUGAACCACCCAUCCCGCGUGCAGGAUGAAGGUCCUAUGGAUUGUAAACUGCUUUUAACAAAAAAAAAAAGCAUCCUUUUGAGGGUGUCUGACGGUAUCUGCGGAAUAAGCACCGGCUAACUCCGUGCCAGCAGCCGCGGUAAUACGGAGGGUGCAAGCGUUAUCCGGAAUCACUGGGUUUAAAGGGUGCGUAGGCGGAAUAUUAAGUCAGUGGUGAAAGCCUGUCGCUUAACGAUAGAACUGCCAUUGAUACUGAUAUUCUUGAAUUGGGUUGAGGUUAGCGGAAUGUGACAUGUAGCGGUGAAAUGCAUAGAUAUGUCAUGGAACACCAAUUGCGAAGGCAGCUAGCUGGGUCUUGAUUGACGCUGAGCACGAAGCGUGAGUAGCGAACAGGAUUAGAUACCCCUGGUAGUCCACGCCCUAACGAUGCUACUCGAUGUUUGGGACUUGAUGUUCGAGCAUCGAAGGCAAACUGAUAGUCAGCUGCUGGGUAGUACGACGGCAUGUUGACUCUAUGUAAUUUGGACGGCGUCGCCACGAGUAAGCAGUGAUCAUUCGAUGAUCGCGAGCAUCAUACCUUAGCCU